UGUCCUUACAACAGGCUGGACCAUCCAUGUCCUUACAACAGGCUGGACCAUCCAUGUCCUUACACAGCAUGUAGAAGUCUGAUGUCCCUUUAUACCACAGGCUGGACAGUCCAUGUCCUUACAACAGGCUGGACAGUCCAUGUCCUUACAACAGGCUGGACAGUCCAUGUCCUUACAACAGGCUGGACAGUCCAUGUCCUUACAACAGGCUGGACAGUCCAUGUCCUUACAACAGGAUGGACAGUCCAUGUCCUUACAACAGGCUGGACAGUCCAUGUCCUUACAACAGGCUGGACAGUCCAUGUCCUUACAACAGGCUGGACAGUCCAUGUCCUUACAACAGGCUGGACAGUCCAUGUCCUUACAACAGGCUGGACAGUCCAUGUCCUUACAACAGGCUGGACAGUCCAUGUCCUUACAACAGGAUGGACAGUCCAUGUCCUUACAACAGCAGGUAGAAGUCUGAUGUCCCUUUAUACCACAGGCUGGACAGUCCAUGUCCUUACAACAGGCUGGACAGUCCAUCUCCUUACAACAGGCUGGACAGUCCAUGUCCUUACAACAGGCUGGACAGUCCAUGUCCUUACAACAGCAGGUAGAAGUCUAAUGUCCCUUUUUGGGAAC
ensembl:lncRNA